rnacentral:rRNA from 1 species
UUUUGAGAAAUUGGCACCAUCUCGCCUUUUCGUCCCCCUGUCACCGCCCCUUUGAAACAUGUGUAUACCCCCGGACAAAAGGCCCAAGAACAUUUGACCUCCCCCCACUUUUCCCCGCUUUUCACAAAGGCAUCCUGUAAAAAGUCCAAAUCUUUACAUGCUGGUACAAAAAAGGGUGGUCGCGCUGGUUGAAUUAUUUAAAAUCUCCCUACCCAAACUGAA